rnacentral:rRNA from 1 species
CAGCACCUCAAGUGGUCAGGAUGAUUAUUGGGCCUAAAGCAUCCGUAGCCGGCGCUGUAAGUUUUCGGUUAAAUCUGUACGCUCAACGUACAGGCUGCCGGGAAUACUGCAGCGCUAGGGAGUGGGAGAGGUAGACGGUACUCGGUAGGAAGGGGUAAAAUCCUUUGAUCUAUUGAUGACCACCUGUGGCGAAGGCGGUCUACCAGAACGCGUCCGACGGUGAGGGAUGAAAGCUGGGGGAGCAAACCGGAUUAGAUACCCGAGUAGUCC